UCUCAAAGAUGGGUGUCAACCUUACGGAGGAACAUGCUGUAAAUUUAAUUUGUGUUUAUUAUAAAUAUUUCCAAAUUUUGUUCAAAACAUCGCUCUAAACUUCCCUUUUAGAAUAAAUUUUGUUGUCGUUCUCGGAUCUGAAAUUGGGUUUGGACCAAGUACGUUUUUGAGUUUGUUGACUUUUUUUUUUGAGUUCUGAAGUGUAGAGAUUUUUCGAUGUCUUCAACGUAUUGGUGUUCAAGAGAAAACUAAAAACACAAGACAUAUAUUUCAACAGUAGUUUUUUCAAUUUAUAUCGACAUCCAAAUAUAUUUACAGUAGAUUAUUAUCAAAAUUAUUUCUAAUUAUUUUUGAAAUUGUAAUUUUACCAACACAGGUUGCUCUGCUCCAAGUUCUGGUUUUUGUUUCUGCGACAUCGCCAGAUCCGAAACUUGAUCUGAAAAUCAAAAGUCGUAAGAACAAAGAAAAAUCUGUUUAAAAAGGAUUUUUAAAAAAAAACAGGAAUUUGGAAGAUUUCACAGAUUGCUUCGCUUAUAUGUGCAAUCUAUGGAAUUUUGCGAGUUUAGAUCGAGCUAUUAAAGGACUGUUGUUGCUGAAAUCGCUGAUGACUAUUUUUUAUUAUUCGCUGCUCCAUCUCGAGUUCUGGUUGAAAAUCUUGCUUUUGAUCUUGUUGUUCAUUCUCAUCGGAUUCUGGAAUUGAGGAGUGUGUAUUUGCUGAUUUUUUUCACUGCUAUAUUGAAGAAAAAUUCUCCUAACAGAGUUGUUCGUUGUUGAUUGCUGGGUCUGUUGACUGCUGCUAGCUGGAGUUUGAUUUCAAGUAGGUGCCUUAUUUUUCCGGCGAGGAUUUUUGGCAAGCUACAGUACUUCCGCGACUCCCGUUCAGAUUUUCGGCAGGACGCAGCAGAACUACCCGUUCUGAUAAGCUUCAAGAAAACUUGCCCCAGGUACUAGUCGCGGCGGCGAGGCUAGUUUGCGGCAUUUGUGAGUGAGGAGCUAAGCAACACCGGCCGGGACGUGCAAGAGUUGGUAGCAGUUGACCUCUGGCGCAUCAAAGCCUACUUUCAGGUUUUUC
rnacentral:lncRNA from 1 species